CGACUAGUCGAGGAAUCGGGCGUGGAUAUAAUCGGGUAUGAAGUUGUCUACCGAAGCCGUGGGAUCAGCAAUGAUCGGUAGGGGAGCAUUCCAUUCUGCGUCGAAGGCGUGGCGUGAGCCAUUCUGGAGCGUAUGGAAAAGCAAAUGUAGGUAUAAGUAACGAUAAAGGGGGUGAGAAACCCCCUCGCCGAAAGACUAAGGUUUCCUGAUCAACGCUAAUCGGAUCAGGGUCAGUCGGAUCCUAAGGCUCAGCCGAACGGCGAGGCCGAUGGCAGAAACGGUUAAUAUUCCGUUACUACCUUUGAGGGUGACGUGGGGAAGCAGUAGUGACACUGCCGCGGGCUGACGGAAUAGCCCGUUAAAGAGUGUAGGCGUUGAUUUCCGCAGGCAAAUCCACGGAAAGAGCCGAACUUGAUAGUAUGGAGCGUCCUUCGGGACAAUCCAAUAGCGCAGGUAAACAGACUGCCGAGAAAAUCCGCUAAACAUAACUUCAGAGGUACCCGUACCGCAAACGGACACACGUAGUCGGGUUGAAUAUACUAAGGCGUGUCGACGCGGCCG
rnacentral:rRNA from 1 species